rnacentral:rRNA from 1 species
AGAGUUUGAUCAUGGCUCAGAUUGAACGCUGGCGGCAUGCCUUACACAUGCAAGUCGAACGGCAGCACGGGGCAACCUGGUGGCGAGUGGCGAACGGGUGAGUAAUGUAUCGGAACGUACCUUUCAGUGGGGGAUAACGUAGCGAAAGUUACGCUAAUACCGCAUGUUCUGUGAGCAGGAAAGCAGGGGAUCGCAAGACCUUGCGCUGAUUGAGCGGCCGAUAUCAGAUUAGCUAGUUGGUGAGGUAAAGGCUCACCAAGGCGACGAUCUGUAGCGGGUCUGAGAGGAUGAUCCGCCACACUGGAACUGAGACACGGUCCAGACUCCUACGGGAGGCAGCAGUGGGGAAUUUUGGACAAUGGGGGCAACCCUGAUCCAGCCAUGCCGCGUGAGUGAAGAAGGCCUUCGGGUUGUAAAGCUCUUUCGGCCGGGAAGAAAUCGCAUGGGUUAAUACCCUAUGCGGAUGACGGUACCGGCAUAAGAAGCACCGGCUAACUACGUGCCAGCAGCCGCGGUAAUACGUAGGGUGCGAGCGUUAAUCGGAAUUACUGGGCGUAAAGCGUGCGCAGGCGGUUUUGUAAGACAGGCGUGAAAUCCCCGGGCUCAACCUGGGAACUGCGUUUGUGACUGCAAGGCUAGAGUACGGCAGAGGGGGGUGGAAUUCCACGUGUAGCAGUGAAAUGCGUAGAGAUGUGGAGGAACACCAAUGGCGAAGGCAGCCCCCUGGGUCGAUACUGACGCUCAUGCACGAAAGCGUGGGUAGCAAACAGGAUUAGAUACCCUGGUAGUCCACGCCCUAAACGAUGUCAACUAGGUGUUGGGUGGGUAAAACCAUUUAGUACCGGAGCUAACGCGUGAAGUUGACCGCCUGGGGAGUACGGCCGCAAGGUUAAAACUUAAAGGAAUUGACGG